AUUAAAUCAAUAGUAAACGACAGUUAAGAAGUAUUGUGACGAAAUCCAAUGUUCAAUUUAUUGAUCUUCGAACCCAAUCCGAUAUAUUUGUAUUGGUAUACUCGUUAAUCGAUUGAUAGACUGUUAUUCUGAAACCUCAACGGAGAUAGUAAUCUGCAUGUGCAUGAAUAAUCGAGAUAAUUCUGCUUCCCAUUUUUCCCAUGAUUCAUUGCCCAUACAUUUAUUACAAUUUCAAUACAUAUAUACACAAUACAUUGUUUUCAAGAAUUUUCCUGAAUAAUGCCAACCAUCCUGUUAAUGCCACUAUUUCGGUUCCCACCACACUAUCUCAUAAUUUUUAUCGAGUUUCAUAUGACGCAUGGUAAUAGCUAUUCCGAUUUUCUAAAGGUUUCCGUCACUAAUUACCCAACUGAAUGACAUGUUUUGUCCUGAAUAUUUCUCUCCGUAGAGAUACCCAGAAGAAAAUUCUGUUUUCCAACUUGUUCAAUUUUCCAUUUGAAUCAAAUCUUUAGUAGUAUCACGAAAAGAUAAUAAAAUCAGUAAAUCUCAGUAAGACUUAAUAUGUAGCAUCCUAUUUCUCAUAUACUUUAAAAAUAUUUUAUCUCAUUGCGGACGGUAAAACGCGUUUCUGACCUCGCUUCGCUGGGAUAAAAGCGCGUUUUCGGCCACAAUGACAUAAAAUAGCAUCAUAGCCAUGGCGGAAAAAAUAAUUCUGACUCAUGCGCGUUAUAAUCCUCGUCUCCGGCUCGGACUAUAAAAUCGCAUUCGUCAGAGUCCCUUUUUCCGUCCUAGGCGUGAAAUAUAUCAUUACCAGAAUUUAUAGAACAUAUUUAAAUAAGAAUACAAAGGUUCACAACCACAGGACUAAUGCCCUAGCGCUCUUAUUACCAAUAAUGCAUUCUUUCUUUAUCCACUCCGAAAAAACUUCGUAUAAACCAAAACCUUAAUCUGAAUGAAUUUUACGAUUUCAUAUUCUUUCAAUAGAAAACGGAAAGUCUUUCUGAUUUAAAACCCUCCAAUUUGAUAAAGUAAUAAAGGAAAGAGGAAUUUUGAUUUACGUUCGUGAUAACGAGUGCUCGGUUCUGCAUUAAUGUUUGCGGGGAUUUCCCAUGUGUCACAGGAUUACUAUAACCUGGGGAUGGGGUGAAAGUAGGUGGAAGACGAGGGGUAGAGAGACAGUUGCGCGUGUUGUACGUAACUAGGGUAAGUGUGCAACAGGUGCACAGGUGCUAGAGUGUAUGCGCCGCAAUAAAGUGCAAUUUUUCGAUUUGGAUUAUUUAAAAAUUAUUCAUCACAUCAAAGAUUGUAAACAAGGUUUACCACCAUCAGUUUUUUGUGGCGGACAGCUAGCACUGCAAAAUAUCAAAUGUUGCGACAAUAAACAAUGAUGAGAAAUAUUGUACAACGAUACUAUUGAAGAGAAUUGGAGUGUUUAAUAUUGGGCAGCCACUAGAGGAUGAUCUUCUGCUGCAUAUAUUCUCAUGAAUUUCCUCUAAAUUUCGCAUUUACUACCGAAAAGAAGUUCAAUAAAUUCCUUAAUGUGAAUAAUUACGCAUGUUAUCGUAAUAGAUAUGAUUAUUUCCUGCAGCAAUAUAAUUGGAAUAAAUGAAUGAUGACAUAGCGGGAUAAUGUGGAAUUAAAAGACGUAAUAGUUCUAUCAAAA